UGGUCUCUUCACCACAUUACCUUGCUCCGUGCAAUAAGUGCAAAGUCAUGCACUGUCUUGGGUGCUUGUUCCUCCAAAGAGGAGAAACAUCGCCUUCGCGGUAAGUAGCUCGCUCAAGAGGCCCUGCUGGUGAAAGGAGAUUUCAAUGUAAAAUUCACUGACCUGACGACGACGACGAAGCGCCGGGCGCCUUGAGCGUUAUACUACAUACUCAUUUUCCCCGACUGACUCAGAGUCGCACAAUUCCUCCAACAGCUACAUAGCUACCCGCGCGCGUUUUUCUCUCUCUCUCAUAUCAGGACGGAAGUGCUCCGGACCAAUUUGGUUAAGUCAUCGCGUGACCAACCAUGACAAGAAGAAAAAGAAAAGAAAGAAAAAAAAAAAAAAACCAAAAAAAACCACGAAGCUGCGCACAAAUUCGCCUCGUUUUUUUCUGUCCUUAACCCUCGUCCGGGUUGGAAAAUGCUCUUCUUUCUACUUUCAGCUGAAGUCUGUCUGCAACAUGUCUCCGGGUCCGGUCUCCUACUUAGUGUAGUGUACAAUCCAUACACUACAACGCGGAGGCAAUCCACUCAUCCCCGGCCCCGGCUCAUUUACCCCACAUUGGGUUUUGUCGGCGAGCUCGGGGUUGGUGAAUUUUUGGUUGUGCAGAUUCGGGGUUUAGAGGUCCCGCUGUUAGUAGAAGCCAACUAGGGUGGGGAGCUUUCAAAGGGUAUUCGUGAUGAUGAAAGGGUAUUGGAUGUACAAGAACAACAAAACGCAUAUUCAGAGUUGUAGAUCAUUUGAUAUGGAACUCGGUGCACG